rnacentral:lncRNA from 1 species
AUUUAGUCGAAGUUUCUAAUUGAGAGGUCAAAUCCAUCCUCGAAAAAACUCUGAAUCUCAAUAGAAAAGAUUGGAGUCUCCACCUCAGCGAUGUAUGUUGGGCUUAUAGGACAGCAUACAACACCGAUUGACAUGUCCCUUAUCGAUUAUUUUACGGUAGGCUUUGUCACCUCCGGGUUGAACUUUAACACAAGGUAUUCUGGGCAAUCAAGCAAUGCAACAUGGACCUAAUGUGGCGGGUGGUCAAAUAAAGUUUCAACUCAAUGAAUUUGAGAAAAUUCAAAAUGUUGCCUAUGAAAGUUUAAGAAUUUACAAGGAAAAGACAAAGGCGUACCAUGAUAAAAUGAUUUCAAGAAAAGCUUUUGUUGUUGGACAAAAAGUUCUUCUUUUCCACUCAUGCCUCAAGUUAUUUCUAGGUAAAUUACGUUAUCGGUGGAUUGGUCCUUUGGUUGUUACUAAUGUUUUUCCUUAUGGUGCAGUAGAAAUCAAAAGCCUGCAGACUGAGAAAGAGUUUAAGGUGAAUGGACAUCGAUUAAAGCCAUAUUUUGAACCCUUUGUACCUCAAAACAUGGAGGAAAUACGACUGGAAGAUCCGAUUGAAGAAGCAUGAGAGAUGACACUUCUUUUUGUUUUUGUCACCAAUGGUCCCCUCAUAGCCAUCACCGUUAAAACCAACUUAGGGGAGUUUUUGUUUUUUUUUUUUUACAUUGAGGAUAAUGUGUAAUCUAAGCGUGGGGGUGAGGUGUAUGUGCUAAAUUUGUUCUUGCUAAAAACUCAAAUUUCGGGUUAAAUACUUGCUUUUGUACUUGUUUGUGUUGUUUGGUAGUUUUGCCAAUUACGUUUUGAGUUGUUGCAUUGCAUUGAUGUAUGAAUUGUGCACAUGAAUGCUAAGUGUUGUAUUUAGAAUUGUAUUAAUUCCCAACUUAAUAUUGAUUUUGUGGAGUGUUCUUAGACUUCAAAUGAAAGUUAGAUGUUGUUUUCCAUCUAUUUGUGAUAAAAAAAAAAAAAAAAUUGUAGAAAAACGUUGCCUACUCUAAGGAGUGUGAGUUGGUGUUGAGUAAUUUGACCCUAUGCAUCAUCAAUGUGUAAGAGACGAUCUACGAAUUAAGGAGGCUACCCUUAAGAACCAGAGCGAGAACUACCUACAUCGGAAAAAAAUGAAGAAAAGGAAAAUGGGUGCUAUAAGCAUCUAAGGUUGAUUAUGUUGAAGGAUUGAUGUAUUGUGAGUAAUUUGCCUAAUGAAAGUUCAUGAUCUAAGCACUCAAAAUUUUUGGUGAAUAAAUAAAUGACUAGAUAAUCUAUUUUAGCGAUUCAAACCAAUCAAAUUUUAGAGUGAAAGAUUGAGUGAUUUGAGGGCAAACUUAAGUUUUUGACACCUUGGGCAAGAGUGAAAAUAUCAAGUUUGGGGAAGUGUGCAUUCCACGAGUGAGAAAGGAAAAUUUAACUAUUGAGGGUCUGGAAAAUCACCAACUUAUGUAUUGCGAUGAAUUGGAAUGACCACACACACAUAUGAUUCAAG